AACGAACGCUGGCGGCAUGCCUAACACAUGCAAGUCGAACGAGACCUUCGGGUCUAGUGGCGCACGGGUGCGUAACGCGUGGGAACCUGCCCUUAGGUUCGGAAUAACUCCCCGAAAGGGGUGCUAAUACCGGAUAAUGUCUUCGGACCAAAGAUUUAUCGCCUUUGGAUGGGCCCGCGUUGGAUUAGCUAGUUGGUAGGGUAAAAACCUACCAAGGCGACGAUCCAUAGCUGGUCUGAGAGGAUGAUCAGCCACACUGGGACUGAGACACGGCCCAGACUCCUACGGGAGGCAGCAGUGGGGAAUAUUGGACAAUGGGCGAAAGCCUGAUCCAGCAAUGCCGCGUGAGUGAUGAAGGCCUUAGGGUUGUAAAGCUCUUUUACCCGGGAUGAUAAUGACAGUACCGGGAGAAUAAGCUCCGGCUAACUCCAUG
rnacentral:rRNA from 1 species